GCUGUUUUGCUGUUCGUCAGGUUUGCCAUUGCACUGGGAUCCUGCAGUGAGUUCCUGUCAGUACAGGACAAGAUCAAGGAUGGGUACAAGUUCAAGGAACAUAUCGAGAGAGCGCUGGAGCUGCGGCCCAACGAUGCCACAGUUCAUCAUCUUCUAGGGAGGUGGUGUUACGAGGUCACCAUGUUAAGUUGGGUUGAGAGAAAGUGGCAUCUGCAUUGUUUGCUGCGCCUACCAAACUCCUCUGUGGACGAGGCGUUAGAACUACUUUCGUGGAGGUGAGUAGGUAAAAAUUACA